rnacentral:rRNA from 1 species
CCCUGAAUAUCACCCUGAAUGUGCCCAAUCUCAUCUGACCUUGGAAACUAAACGGUAUCAAGCCUAGUUAGUACUUGGAUGGGAGAGAGAAAGAGAGAGAAUGGGUGUUUCAGGGC